rnacentral:rRNA from 1 species
ACGCUCGACACCUACUGGAGGCAGCAGUAGGGAAUCUUCCACAAUGGACGCAAGUCUGAUGGAGCAACGCCGCGUGAGUGAAGAAGGUUUUCGGAUCGUAAAGCUCUGUUGUUGGUGAAGAAGGAUAGAGGUAGUAACUGGCCUUUAUUUGACGGUAAUCAACCAGAAAGUCACGGCUAACUACGUACCAGCAGCCGCGGUAAUCUGAGCGGGCUGGCAAGGC